rnacentral:rRNA from 1 species
UACGUAGGGUGCGAGCGUUGCCCGGAUUUAUUGGGCGUAAAGGGCGCGCAGGCGGUUCGGCACGUCCGUUGUGAAAUCGCUCGGCUCAACUGGGCGGGGUCAGCGGAUACGGUCGAACUUGAGCAAGCUAGGGGGCAAUGGAAUUCCCGGUGUAGUGGUGGAAUGCGUAGAUAUCGGGAGGAACACCAGUGGCGAAGGCGGUUACCUGGAGCUUUGCUGACGCUGAUGCGCGAAAGCGUGGGGAGCGAUCCGG